UGCAGAUAUAGUGGAAAGAGUGUAUUUGAACUAGAGAGCCUAGAUUAAGAGCUAGGAAGCAGUUACUAUUUUAUUUAGGUAUUUCCUUUUGAGGAGUAGUGAGAAUAUCCUCUUAUAUUAGAAAUAAUUGGCUUUUUCUGAGGAAGAAAAAUAUUUGUAAACCAAAAGGGGUAGACCGCAGUGCACACAUGAUGUUUCUGAACUUUUCAAUACCCAAUACCCCUUCCUAUUCAUACCCACUCUCCAUUUUGGGAGCUUCCUAAUUGUAUAUAUUCCCAGGGAAACUACCUUCCCCAUUGGGAGCCAGGGGAGUCAGGUUCUUCUUGUCCCAGCAUCUCUCAGCUAGGGAAUUGAAUGUGACUGACUCUAGCCAGUUAAGUACUUCCACCUUGAAAAAUGACUCAAGAAUAUGGAGAUGGAACUGAUUCAUUGGUCUCAUUGACAGUCUCUCUGGUCUGCACUGUGUCCUGUGCUGAAAUUCCGGCUGCUUGGCAGGAACCCUUGGUUACUUCUUGCUUUCUGAAUCUGUUUCUUCAGCUUUGACCCAGCUUGGAUUGACAGACACUUACAAGGCCCAAGAAGGAAAAACAGGACCUCACGUUUGCUCAUCCCACUAGACAUUGUGUGGAUGCUGGACCUGAGAGAGAAUCUUGUGAAAUAUGCUUUUGGGGAUAGCUAUUCAUUACGUGAUAGAUGUUCUUAUGUUAAUUCACAAAAAAUGAAGAAACAGCAGAGGAAGAGAACAUGGCAAAUGGACAAGGAUUCUGUGAUGUCACUGCGUUCUGGCCAGCCUGUGAUUCUGCAUUUGGACAACAGCCAGUGUUGGAUUAUGAGUCAUGAUAUAAGAAACACAUGGGCAUACUGUACCACUGAGAAUCCUUACACUGGACAUUAUUUUAUGAUUUUAAUGAGGGUAAAGAUACAAAAAUUAUUUUAUUAGAUUAUUUCUAUUUGUAGUGUUGUGACCUGUUCCUGCCAUUCUGACAAACCUACUGAAUGUGAGUUGAGGGAAUGGAUGCUGAAUUUAUUGACUAAUACAAAUACCAAUGAAAUACAUAAUAUUACUCUCUAUGAACCAGGGUGAGCAUUGAAUACAUUUUUGAAGUAUGCCUGAGCAUGAUAAGCAUUCCCUAAAAUCAAAUCUGUGCAAACUUAUGUGCAUAUUACAUUUAUCAGCUAGAAGUUAGAAAGAAUAAAUUAAAUUUCUAGUAUUUUUAUUUUGUUCUG
rnacentral:lncRNA from 1 species